CAGCAGCCGCGGUAAUACGUAGGGUGCAAGCGUUGUCCGGAAUUAUUGGGCGUAAAGAGCUCGUAGGCGGUCUGUCGCGUCGGCUGUGAAAUCCCGGAGCUCAACUCCGGGUCUGCAGUCGAUACGGGCAAACUGGAGUACUGCAGGGGAGACUGGAAUUCCUGGUGUAGCGGUGAAAUGCGCAGAUAUCAGGAGGAACACCGGUGGCGAAGGCGGGUCUCUGGGCAGUAACUGACGCUGAGGAGCGAAAGCGUGGGGAGCGAACAGGAUUAGAUACCCUGGUAGUCCACGCCGUAAACGUUGGGCGCUAGGUGUGGGGCUCAUUCCACGAGUUCCGUGCCGCAGCUAACGCAUUAAGCGCCCCGCCUGGGGAGUACGGCCGCAAGGCUAAAACUCAAAGGAAUUGACGG
rnacentral:rRNA from 1 species